GUGAAGAAAGUGUGUGUAUAGGAGUACCAAAUGUAUCCAGAAAAACACAGGACAUCAGAAAGUGGGUCCUGGAAGACACUGUAAGGGCAGGAGACACCUUACCAAGACCUCAUUUAUUUUAACACUUCCUGGGAGACCUUUAUUGUCAAACUCGACCAGAUUUAUUCAACAAACAGCAAUUCAAGAAAGCAGUGGAAAAGAGCUGAGUCACAGUGAAAGUGACAUUUCCCUUUGCAGCUGAAGAAACCACCGGCUGUGAUUAACUGCUUGACUAGUCCUCCAGUGUGAAGGAUCACAAUGGGAUCAAGAAGGCUUGGCUGGGCUAUGAGAAAGAAAAGAACUGAAUCAAAUUGGAGCUGGGGAAACUCAGUUCACAGGAUCCCCUAAAAGUUACAAAUGUCACAAGUGUGAGUGACCAUUCAUUUACUUAAUCAGGC
ensembl:lincRNA